GAUGAACGCUGGCGGCGUGCCUAAUACAUGCAAGUCGAACGAACGGACGAGAAGCUUGCUUCUCUGAUGUUAGCGGCGGACGGGUGAGUAACACGUGGAUAACCUACCUAUAAGACUGGGAUAACUUCGGGAAACCGGAUCUAAUACCGGAUAAGAUUUUGAACCGCAGGGUGCAAAAGUGAAAGACGGUCUUGCUGUCACUUAUAGAUGGAUCCGCGCUGCAUUAGCUAGUUGGUAAGUUAACGGGCUACCAAGGCAACUAUUCAUAACCGACUUGAGAGAGUGGUGGGCGACCUUGGAACGUAGACGCCGUCCAUACUCCUACGGUAGGCAGCAGUAGCGAAUCUUCCGCAAUGGGCGAAAGCCUUACGCAACAACGCCGCGUGAGAGAUGAAGAGCUUGCGAUCGUAAAAAUCUGUUAUUAGGGAAGAACAUCUGUGUAAGUUACUGUGGCCAUCGUGACGGUACCUAAUCAGAAAGCCCCGGCUAACUACGUG
rnacentral:rRNA from 1 species